GGGGAAUAUUGCGCAAUGGGGGAAACCCUGACGCAGCAACGCCGCGUGGAGGAAGAAGGUCUUCGGAUUGUAAACUCCUGUCUUCUGGGACGAAAAAUGACGGUACCAGAGGAGGAAGCCACGGCUAACUACGUGCCAGCAGCCGCGGUAAUACGUAGGUGGCAAGCGUUGUCCGGAAUUAUUGGGCGUAAAGGGCGCGUAGGCGGCACUCUAAGUCAGAUGUGAAACCCCGGGGCUUAACUCCGGACGUGCAUUUGAAACUGGGGAGCUAGAGUGCAGGAGAGGAAAGCGGAAUUCCUAGUGUAGCGGUGAAAUGCGUAGAUAUUAGGAAGAACACCAGUGGCGAAGGCGGCUUUCUGGACUGUAACUGACGCUGAGGCACGAAAGCGUGGGGAGCAAAC
rnacentral:rRNA from 1 species